UAAGACUCUUUUAUGUUUGCCUUUCGGCA
rnacentral:piRNA from 1 species